rnacentral:rRNA from 1 species
UAGGGAAUCUUCCACAAUGGACGAAAGUCUGAUGGAGCAACGCCGCGUGAGUGAAGAAGGGUUUCGGCUCGUAAAACUCUGUUGUUAAAGAAGAACAUAUCUGGGAGUAACUGUUCAGGUAUUGACGGUAUUUAACCAGAAAGCCACGGCUAACUACGUGCCAA